GGGGAAUUAGCUCAAUUGGUAGAGCACUGCCUUUGCAAGGCAGGGGUUAGGGGUUCGAGUCCCCUAUUCUCCA
rnacentral:tRNA from 3 species